rnacentral:rRNA from 1 species
AUUGAACGCUGGCGGCAGGCCUAACACAUGCAAGUCGAGCGGAUGAAGGGAGCUUGCUCCUGGAUUCAGCGGCGGACGGGUGAGUAAUGCCUAGGAAUCUGCCUGGUAGUGGGGGAUAACGUCCGGAAACGGGCGCUAAUACCGCAUACGUCUUGAGGGAGAAAGUGGGGGAUCUUCGGACCUCACGCUAUCAGAUGAGCCUAGGUCGGAUUAGCUAGUUGGUGGGGUAAAGGCCUACCAAGGCGACGGUCCGUAACUGGUCUGAGAGGAUGAUCAGUCACACUGGAACUGAAGCACGGUCCAGACUCCUACGGGAGGCAGGAGUUGGGAAUUUUGGACAAAUGGCGGAAGCCUGAUCCAGCCAUGCCGCGGGUAGGAAGAAGGUCUUCGGAUUGUAAAACACUUUAAAUUGGGAGGAAGGGCAGUAAGAUAAUACCAUGCUGUUUUGGCGUUACCAACAGAAUAAACACCGGGUAACUUCGUG